rnacentral:rRNA from 1 species
AUUGAACGCUGGCGGCAGGCCUAACACAUGCAAGUCGAACGAGUGGCGGACGGGUGAGUAAUGUCUGGGAAACUGCCUGAUGGAGGGGGAUAACUACUGGAAACGGUAGCUAAUACCGCAUACCAUCAGAUGUGCCCAGAUGGGAUUAGCUAGGAGGUGGGGUAACGGCUCACCUAGGCGACGAUCCCUAGAUGGUCUGAGAGGAUGACCAGCAACACGGGAACUGAGACACGGUCCAGACUCCUACGGGAGGCAGCAGUGGGGAAGAUUGCACAAUGGGCGCAAGCCUGAUGCAGCCAUGCCGCGUGUAUGAAGAAGGCCUUCGGGUUGUAAAGUACUUUCAGCUGGGAGGCGUUACCCGCAGAAGAAGCACCGGCUAACUCCGUGCCAGCAGCCGCGGUAAUUC